GUGCUCACUUCAACAGUACAUAUACUAAAAUUGGAAAAAUAUAGAGAUUGUCUUGGUCACAUACAAGGAUGACAUAUAAAUUCAUGAGACAUUACCUAUUUUU